AGGCACAUGAAGCAACACUGGAAGCCAGAGCCAGCCCAGAGAUGAGUGACCGAAUACAGCAAUUGGAGAGAGAGAUGGCCAGGUACAAAGAUGAAUCCAGCAAGGCCCAAACAGAAGUUGACCGUCUCUUGGAAAUCUUGAAAGAGGUGGAAAAUGAGAAGAAUGACAAAGAUAAGAAGAUAGCUGAGUUGGAAAGGUAAGGAAGGGAGCUAAUCGGUGCUCACCCUGGCGGGAAAGUUCAAGCAUGUUUUACAACUUUUGGGGAAGUGUUUCCAAUAGUAUGCACAGUUGAACGAGGUUCUUCCUUGCCCUGCAAACAUGUCUACAGGCUAAUCUGAUAGAGGUCAUUCUUCAGUCUAGAUUCCAUCUUACCAGGUAAUUCUAGUUCGUGUCACAUUUGG
rnacentral:lncRNA from 1 species